rnacentral:rRNA from 1 species
AUUAGAGAAGUAAAGUCGUAACAACGUAUCCGUAGUUGAACCUGCGGAAGGAUCAUUA